rnacentral:snRNA from 1 species
AGCUUUGUGCAGUGGCAGUAUCAUAGUCAAUGAGGAUUAUCUGAUACCUCAUUAUCACUAAUUGAAAAACCUAAUUUUUAAAUAUUUAAACCUAAACAUAGACAUUAUUUUUGUUAUAAUGGUAGUCUU